UACGAAGGGGGCUAGCGUUGUUCGGAAUUACUGGGCGUAAAGCGCGCGCAGGCGGUCCUUCAAGUCAGGGGUGAAAUCCCAGGGCUCAACCCUGGAAUGGCCUUUGAGACUAGAGGACUUGGGUGCGGGAGAGGUGAGUGGAAUUCCGAGUGUAGAGGUGAAAUUCGUAGAUAUUCGGAAGAACACCAGUGGCGAAGGCGGCUCACUGGCCCGGUACUGACGCUGAGGUGCGAAAGCGUGGGGAGCAAACAGG
rnacentral:rRNA from 1 species